rnacentral:rRNA from 1 species
GGUGAACGCUGGCGGUAUGCCUAAGACAUGCAAGUCGCACGAUCUGUUUUCGGACGGGUAGUGGCGGACGGGUGAGUAACACGUGGGUGAUCUGCCCAGAAGUCCGGGACAACUAGGCGAAAGCUUAGCUAAUCCGGGAUGUGGACCGAGAUUUUGAUCUUUGUCUAAAGCUUCGGCGCUUCUGGAUGAGCCUGCGGCGCAUCAGCUGGUUGGCGGGGUAACGGCCCACCAAGGCGACGACGCGUAGCUGGUCUGAGAGGACGACCAGCCACAGGGGUACUGAGACACGGACCCCACUCCUACGGGAGGCAGCAGUUAGGAAUCUUCCCCAAUGGGCGCAAGCCUGAGGGAGCGAUACCGCUUGAACGACGAAGCCCCUCGGGGUGUAAGGUUCUGAACCCGGGACGAUGAUGACGGUACCGGGGUAAUAGCACCGGCUAACUCCGUGCCAGCAGCCGCGGUAAUACGGAGGGUGCGAGCGUUACCCGGAUUUACUGGGUGUAAAGGGCGUGUAGGCGGCUUUCUAAGUCCGGUGCUAAAGAUUGGGGCUCAACCCCAGGAGUGCGCUGGGUACUGGGAGGCUAGACGGUCGGAGAGGGCAGCGGGAUUUUCGGAGUAGCGGUUAAAUGCGCAGAUACCGAGAGGAACACCGAUAGCGAAAGCAGCUGCCUGGACGAUAUUGUGACGCUGAGGCGCGAAAGCGUGGGGAGCAAACCGGAUUAGAUACCCGGGUAGUCCACGCCCUAAACGAUGAGUGCUGGGUGUCCGGCUUUAGCCGGGUGCCGAAGCUAACGCGAUAAGCACUCCACCUGGGAAGUACGGUCGCAAGACUGAAACUCAAAGGAAUUGACGGGGGCCCGCACAAGCGGUGGAGCAUGUGGUUUAAUUCGAAGCGACGCGAAGAACCUUACCAGGUCUUGACAUCCUCCGAAUCUUGGUGAAAGCCGAGAGUGCCCGCAAGGGAGCGGAGAGACAGGUGCUGCAUGGUCGUCGUCAGCUCGUGUCGUGAGAUGUUGGGUUAAGUCCCGCAACGAGCGCGACCAUUAAAAAUAGUUGCUAGCGGUAUGGCCGAGCACUCUAAGGAGACUGCCUACGAAAGUAGGAGGAAGGCGGGGAUGACGUCUGAUCCGCAUGGCCCUUACGACCUGGGCGACACACGUGCUACAAUGCCCGACACAAAGCGCUGCUACUUCGCAAGAAGAUGCCAAUCGCCUAAAGUCGGGCCUAGUUCGGAUUGAGGUCUGCAACCCGACCUCAUGAAGCUGGAAUCGCUAGUAAUCGCGGAUCAGCCAUGCCGCGGUGAAUACGUUCCCGGGCCUUGUACACACCGCCCGUCAAGCCAUGGAAGUGGGUUUUGCCUGAAAUCGCCGGGAGCUUCUGGCAGGCGCUUAGGGUAAGGCUCAUGACUGGGGCUAA